GAUGAAGAACGCAGCGAAAUGCGAUAAGUAGUGUGAAUUGCAGAAUUCAGUGAAUCAUCGAAUCUUUGAACGCACAUUGCGCCCUUUGGUAUUCCUUAGGGCAUGCCUGUUCGAGCGUCAUUUGUACCCUCAAGCUUUGCUUGGUGUUGGGCGUCUUGUCUCUAGCUUUGCUGGAGACUCGCCUUAAAGUAAUUGGCAGCCGGCCUACUGGUUUCGGAGCGCAGCACAAGUCGCACUCUCUAUCAGCAAAGGUCUAGCAUCCAUUAAGCCUUUUUUUCAACUUUUGACCUCGGAUCAGGUAGGGAUACCCGCUGAACUUAAGCAUAUCAAUAAGCGGAGGA
rnacentral:misc_RNA from 1 species